CAACUUUCAACAAUGGAUCUCUAGGUUCUCGCAUCGAUGAAGAACGUAGCAAAUUGCGAUAACUAGUGUGAAUUGCAUUUUCAGUGAAUCAUCGAGUCUUUGAACGCAUCUU
rnacentral:rRNA from 2 species